CAGGGAAUAGUUUAAGAAGAAUCUCAGUUUUGGGUAUUGAUAGCGAGG
rnacentral:tRNA from 1 species